rnacentral:rRNA from 1 species
UACGUAGGGGGCUAGCGUUAUCCGGAUUUACUGGGCGUAAAGGGUGCGUAGGCGGUCUUUCAAGUCAGGAGUGAAAGGCUACGGCUCAACCGUAGUAAGCUCUUGAAACUGUAAGACUUGAGUGCAGGAGAGGAGAGUGGAAUUCCUAGUGUAGCGGUGAAAUGCGUAGAUAUUAGGAGGAACACCAGUGGCGAAGGCGGCUUUCUGGACAGUAACUGACGCUGAGGCGCGAAAGCGUGGGGAGCAAACAGGAUUAGAUACCCCCGUAGUCCCUGAG